GUUUUUCCAUGGUGUAAUGGUUACUACUCUGGACUUUGAAUCCAGCAAUUCGAGUUUAAAUCUCGGUGGAACCU
rnacentral:tRNA from 1 species